GACGAACGCUGGCGGCGUGCUUAACACAUGCAAGUCGAGCGGUAAGGCCCUUUCGGGGGUACGACGAGCGGCGAACGGGUAGAGUAACACGUGGGUGACCUGCCCUUAGCUCUGGGAUAAGCCUGGGAAACUGGGUCUAAUACCGGAUAUGACUCCAUGACGCAUGUUGUGGGGUGGAAAGCCUUGUGCGGCUAGGGAUGGGCCUGCGGCCUAUCAGCUUGUUGGGUGGGGUGAUGGCCUACCAAGGCGACGACGGGUAGCCGGCCUGAGAGGGCGACCGGCCACACUGGGACUGAGACACGGCCCAGACUCCUACGGGAGGCAGCAGUGGGGAAUCUUGCGCAAU
rnacentral:rRNA from 1 species